rnacentral:lncRNA from 1 species
UCCCACCAUAAUUAUCUCUAACAUUUCCAUUGAAGUUGACCUUCAGAUACAACAGAGGAGGCCUCAAAAAAUGAACAUCCGAUAGAUCACUACGUGAGCAGAGUGGGAGCUCCAAGUCUCUAAAAGUCUGGACGUCACAUUGAUGAUCUCCACUGCCAUGUCUAAGGCUAUCUCGAAAACAAAUCGCACCGAAAAUCAUC